AGGAUUCCCCCAGUAGCGGCGAGUGAAGCGGGAACAGCCCAAGCCUGUAAUCUCCGAUGCGUGCAUCGGCGAAUUGUAGUCUGGAGAAGGGCCAUCCCUGCAGCGGUCCUCCCGAAGUCGCCGAGGAAAGGCGCGCCGGAGAGGGUGAUAGCCCCGUGCGCGGGAGCGACCGAUUGUGGGACACGAGGCCUCUUCGGAGAGUCGGGUUGUUUGGGAUUGCAGCCCAAAGUGGGUGGUAAACUCCAUCUAAGGCUAAAUACUGGCACAAGACCGAUAGCGAACAAGUACCGUGAGGGAAAGAUGAAAAGCACUUUGGAAAGAGAGUCAAAUAGUGCGUGAAACCGUUGGGAGGGAAGCGAAUGAGGCCGGCUCGGUCCUCUGUGGGAACAGGUGGAUCGAUGAGCGCCCUCUGGCGGAGGGAUCCCCUUCGGGACCCGUCGCCGGUGGGACCGCUCGUCGCUCUCUACCGCACUCCCGCGUGGACCAGUCAGCGGCAGUUUCCGCUGCGCCGUGCGCCCUGCGGGGCAGUUGGCCGAGUCCUUCGGGUCUCGGUGCUGGCCCCUGGGGCGCGACGUGGCGGAGACUGAGGAGAGUGGCGGCCCUCGCCCGAGCAGCGCAAGCCACAGGGCCGGACGGCUGCGACGACUGCGUCGGACCGGUGGGGACUGCGUGCAGUGCCCGCUGAGCGAGACGGAGGCGUCGCGGUGCAGUCACGAUGUGCGCUGAGGUCGCUGGCGCCUAGCCGGUCCCAUCCGACCCGUCUUGAAACACGGACCAAGGAGUGCAGCAUGCGCGCGAGCCUUCGGGUGGCAAACCCCUGGGCGGAGUGAAAGCGAAAGUGCGUUUGACGCACCGAGGUGAGAGCGGACGGUGACUCGCCCGCGCAUCAUCGACCGAUCCGCAUCACUUGUGGUGGGAUUUGAGUGAGAGUGUGCCUGUUGCGACCCGAAAGAUGGUGAACUAUGCCCGAACAGGGUGAAGCCAGGGGAAACCCUGGUGGAAGCCCGAAGCGAUUCUGACGUGCAAAUCGAUCGUCUGAUUUGGGUAUAGGGGCGAAAGACUAAUCGAACC
rnacentral:rRNA from 1 species